AGCAGCCGCGGUAAUUCCAGCUCCAAUAGCGUAUAUUAAAGUUGUUGCAGUUAAAAAGCUCGUAGUUGAAUUUCGGGGUCAGUAGGUUGGUCGUGCCACAGGUAUGAACUGGCCUCACUGAUUCCUCCUUCCUGAUGAACCGUAAUGCCAUUAAUUUGGUGUUGCGGGGAGACUGGACUGUUACUUUGAAAAAUUAGAGUGUUUAAAGCAGGCUAACGCUUGAAUACAUUAGCAUGGAAUAAUGAAAUAGGACGUUCGGUCUUAUUUUGUUGGUUUCUAAGAUUGACGUAAUGAUUAAUAGGGAUAGUUGGGGGCAUUAGUAUUCAAUUGUCAGAGGUGAAAUUCUUGGAUUUAUUGAAGACUAACUACUGCGAAAGCAUUUGCCAAGGAUGUUUUCAUUAAU
rnacentral:rRNA from 1 species